GUCUCCACUCUGACCAUCUGUAUUCUGUGUUGGUACGCACUCCCUACUUUAAAUGGAAAUUAACGCAGAGGAAAGCAAAGCUGUGUGCUGGGGAGACAGAACUCUGAGAACAUCAAUCAAGUACCUUGCUCCAGUUGCAUUCCCCAAAGGAUCUGGAAAGUCUUCAAGAACAGAAAGCAACAAUAAAACAGCAAUAAUGAUUGAAUAGUUCACCCACCACACAGAGAUAGGAGUCAAAUUUAGUGAAAACUGGAUCAUUCAUUAAAAUUCCACAAAAACAGGCAGUAACCUCCCACAAUGGCUUUAAAUAACCUUUGAGAACAAUGGGAGUCAGAUAACCUGACUUUUUAACCUGGAUGUGAUGAAAAGUAUCCAAAAUAGACUGUGGAAGAAGUGAAGAUUUACUUUCUCUGCUGAAAUGGGGAGCAAGCUAUCUGUCCCCAAAAUACUAUCAUUCCCACAA